AGAGAGAGAGAGAGAGAGAGAGAGAGAGAGAGAGAGAGAGAGAGAGAGAGAGAGGGACUGCCAAGAGCGGAUGCCAUAGAGCGGAAAGUGGUCUACUGGUGAUCAAAGAUUCUAAGAGCUCGAGAGAAAGACAGAGAAAGAGACAGAAAGCGAGAGAGAAAGAGAGCAGAUAACGCUAUCUAAAUUAACGGCCGUUGCUCUGUACUCGAAUACGACUCCGCAUUGGUGUUCGAAUAAACGGAUCUUGGCAUCGGGAAGCGAAUAGGAAACGAGAGAGCGAGCGAUUGAUAGACCGGGAGCACCGACAACGUAAGAUAGGGCAAGAAAGAGAAGA